rnacentral:lncRNA from 1 species
AACAAAUGUGUGUAUAUGUGUACAUGUAUAUAUGUAUAUAUCGCUCAGUUUGCAUUUCCACACGCAUACACCUUAAUGAAUUUACGCUACUUACAAACUAGUCACUUAAGAUUGGUACAAUUUGUAUUUGCUAUUGGUGUGUGAAUUGUAUUAUUUUGUUAUUUACGAACAUUACUGGGCCUCUUAUUUUGCACUGAUAUUACACAGAAAAUAAACAUCAGCAAGAAAAAAAAUACAUGAAUGAUAUACUACAAGAAACUUACUUAUAUUUUAUGAAAUAAUUAUGUCACCGUUCCAUUCAUAAACAUUCUGCAGAAAUUAUAUAGUAAAAUAUCUAUAGCAAUCCCUGAAAUGAAAGCAAAAAUACUAUAUUUUAAUGUUAUGAUAUAAAUAAGCCUACAUGAAAAGAUUACACGACCAUUAUUUUACGACUUUUUACACAAUAUAAUACUGAAGAGAAAUAAAGCAAUACACAGUGAUAGAACUUUUGUAGUUGAUAAUUAUCAUUGUUAUUUUAAAUGUGGGUCAGGAUGGCAUUAUGCGGUAGUGUUGACAUAAAAUACCUAGAAAAUUAAAUUACUUCCCUUUAUAGCAUAUGUUCUUUCUCUCUUGGACGGGAUACCAAAGUUGAUAAAAUAAAGCACCAGUCAUUUACUAAAGCUGAUGUAAUCGACUGUUACCUCUCCCAAGGUCUGUGGCUCCGUGGCGAAGAAAUCUUGAUGAUUUCGAACUCAGCAGUAUAAGGAUCCUUAAAAUUUUUGCGAUAUUUUGAAUAGUGGUGAAAUUUAAUUAGUUGCCAGGGAAAUCUAUCCAAUUGGCUUUCUCACAUAAAGUUCCAUAUUGCUUGUGUGUAUAUCCACAAUACAGAGUAAACUUUCAGCGAGGGACUAAUCAAAUACUUAAAUCAAGAUAGUGUUUCUUAAAUUCCUAGGCAUUAUCUGUUACAUAAUAUUUUCUCAUCACUGUAUCUUUGUAAUAUAAGUUAUCAGAUAUAUAGGACAUAAUCUGUAAAGGUAUAGUGUAGAAAAGAUUUCAUGUAGUAGAAAAAGACUGACACUCUCGUUUGAACAGCGCCUUUACGACAAUAUUUCAAUGUACUCAACAAUCGAAGUUUAAAUAAUUAGACAAUUAGUAACCGGCUAGAGAGGUAGAACAUUGAUCAUUAUAGGCUCCUAUGUGUGUGUGCGUAUGUGUGUGUGUAUUUGUGUGUGUCUUUAGAUGUAAGUGUGUAUAUGUAUAUGUAUACAGACACACAAACACACACACAUACAUAUAUAUGUAUAUAUACAUAGUAAGAAUAUUAUAUCCAUAAAUCAGAUAUAAAUACAUAGAUGUAUAUAUUUGCAUAUGUAUGCAUUUGCAUACGUAUACAAAUAUACGUAGAUAGAUAGAUAGAUAGAUAGAUAGAUAGAUAGAUAGAUAGAUAGAUAGAUAGAUAGAUAGAUAGAUAGAUAGAUAGAUAGAUAGAUAGAUAGAUAGAUAGAUAGACAGGCAGACAGAUAAAGAUAUAAUUGAACUAUAUACAGGAAAUGUUUGCAUAAAUAAAAGUUCCGAUUAUUGCUAUUUAGCAACAAUGAACAACAUAGUUUUUGAACUGAGUUAACGUAUGGCGCCCAUCACCAUCAUCAUUGUUAAUAUUGAUUAAUACUGCCACCACCACCACCAAUAUACUUGAACCACCACUAGCACCACCACAACAAAAACCACAAGCACUAUCUACUACUACUACUACUACUACUACUACUACUACUACUACUAUGUUUAACUGCCUGAGGGUCCCCUCACAUGAAAAGGAAAAAUAUAUUUCGUACAAAAAUAUUAGAAACUGGUGUGUGUGUGUGUUUAUAUAUAUAUAUAUAUAUAUAUAAAUAUAUAUUCACACACUCUCACACACACACAUGCAGACACAUACGCACACGCCUGUACACAUAUAUAUCUAAAUCCACCCGCACCUUAGCAGGGGAGUGGGGGGAUCAGUGUUUAACAUUGAAUUAACAAUAAAAAGAGAAAACAAAUCAGAUUAUUGUCUAUACGAAUAAAUAAACAUGAAGUUAUCGAAAUAGUGCCAGGUGUAGGUGCAAUGAUGAUGAAUACGAUGAUGAUGAUGAUGAUGAUGGUAGUAAUAUUAUUAUUAAUAAUAAUAAUAAUAAUAAUAAUGAUAAUAAUAAUAAUAAUAAUAAUAAUAAUAACAGUAAUAAUAAUAAUAAUAAUAAUAAUAAUAAUAACAGUAUAAUAAUAAUAAUAAAUAAUAAUAAUAAUAAUAUUGAUAAUAAUAAAAAUAAUAAUAAUAAUAAUAAUAAUAAUAAUAAUAAUAAUAAUAAUAAUAAUAAUAAUAAUAAUAAUUAUAAUAAUCAUAAUAAUAAUAAUGAUGAUGAUGUCUAUACUCUCCCGUUUUGGUUAUCAAAGAUAAGUGUAGCAUUAAUAAUUCUAACAAUAACAGUCGUAAAAAUAAUAAUAACAACAAUGCAGUUAUGAUAAUGAUCUUUUACCCUGGGUCACUGCAAUGAAGUCUAUGUUGAAAACAAUAAAUAAAACCCAUGGCAACUAUUAACAGCUACUGAGAUAACUACUUCUACCACCAUUACUUCCACUACCACCAAAGCCACCACUACUAGCACCAUCACUACUAAUACCAAUACUACCAGGACUGCUUUAUUGAGGAAGAUUUUAGAAAUACUAUUGAUGUUCAUGACAACAAUCAGGAAUGAAAUGCCUGAUAAAAUCUGAAAUCCUACAUAAUAAUAUGUUCACGAUAAUGAUGUUGAUACGUGAAAAUAAAUAUAAUAAUCACAAUAACCAUAGUGACUGAGGCGUUAUUAUUACUUUCACUAUUGGGGUCGAUGUAUGGGCGGUGAGUUCGUAGAAUCGUUAGCAAGUCGGGUACAAUGCAUAGCAGUAUUUCGUCCGUCUUUACGUUCUGAGUUUAAAUUCCGCCGAGGUCGACUUUGCCUUUUAUCCUUUCGGAGCCGAUAAAAUAAGUACCAGUUGUGCACUGGGGUUGAUAUAAUUGGCUCUGAAACCAUUAUCACUUUCAUUAUUGGGUUCAAUGUAAUCGGCUAACCCGCUCCUCUCGAAAUUUCUGGCCUUGUGCCAAAAUUAGAAUUAUUACAGAACUUCAUUUCUACCUCAAAUGUCAACAUAAAAGCAAAUGAGAACUGUUACCCGUUUUGAAUGGCAUAUAAGGGACCAAGAAUUACAACAUUAUCCCUGAAAGGGACUCCAGUCCGUUGCAUAAUUAUUAAUUCAGAGCUGUGUGGACUGAAAACAGGAAAUGAGGCGUUUCACUCAAGAGCAUAACACGCCGCCCGGUCCGUGAAUUGAAACCACUACUUUGCGACCGUGAGAGCAACACCCCAAAUCACUUAGCCACGCGUCCUCACAACAUUAAAUAAACAACGUAAUAUUUUUCUAGGGUUUGUGUGACUAAUGGGAGCACAUGUGGAAAUUGCCUUUUGAUAGUAGACUGUCCUGAAUUUUAACAACAAAAUGAUCUCUACUAAGUGCCGCAAAUACGCUAGAACUGGGUGAUACAUUUGUGAGAUGCAUUCAGUUAGAACAAUUAAGAUAAAGUGUUACGUACUACUACAACUACUACUACUACUACUACUACUACUACUACUACUACUACUACUACUACUACCAGCACCACCACCACCACCACUACUACUACUACUACUACUACUACUACUACUACUACUACUACUACUACUACUACUACUACUAACAGUAUCGUGGUGUUUUAGUCGGUGAAAAUGUUGAUAACUUAUAGUCAAACAUAUUCAUUUUUUUUUUCAUACCAAGUAUCAACUGGAUACCCGUACCUACAAUCUCUUUGUGAAGUAGUCAAAUCAAGCUGGGGUUGAUAUACAUUAUCGAUUCAGACAUAUUUACAUUCUCAUCUACGAAACACGCCUUAAGUAAACAAGUAAAUAAAUAGUUAAUCAAAUAAAAUAAACAAAAAUCAAUCAAAAUGACAAAUCAUUAUUAUUGGCAUGAUAAUAUUUUAUAAAGACUAAUCACUAUCAUAUCAUUGGCUCUCUUUAAUUUUUUUACCAUAAUAGAUAGGGCACCACCGGAAACUUCUGGACAAUUUGGCUACCGUCAUGUUGUACGAAAUAUUUAUAAAAUAGUAACCCAUGAGAAAAGGAAUUUGGUACAACAUAGACAAGGUUUUCUUAAAUUUCCAACGCCUGCAAAUUUCUGGUAAUAAUAAUGAUGAUAAUAACAAUAAUAAUAAUGAUAAUAGCAACAACAUAAUGAUAAUAUUCAUGAUAACACCACGCUCAUCGUAAUAAAAUCACACACAUCAAACAUUGUACGGUCAUAAUAUUAUGUUUACAUUCCUCGUGUAAUCGGCUAAGGAUACAUAAAUAUACACGGAUAAAUGAAUACCAAUAUGCAAUACAUAUAUACUUACAAAUAUAUGUAAUAUAUA